AUACGGAGGAUCCGAGCGUUAUCCGGAUUUAUUGGGUUUAAAGGGUGCGCAGGCGGCCAUUUAAGUCAGCGGUUAAAUCGUGGGGCUCAACCCCAUUCUGCCGUUGAUACUGGGUGGCUUGAUUGCGGUCGAGGUUGGCGGAAUUCGUUGUGUAGCGGUGAAAUGCAUAGAUAUGACGAAGAACACCGAUUGCGUAGGCAGCUGACCAGGCCGCAAAUGACGCUCAUGCACGAAAGUGCGGGGAUCGAACAGGAUUAGAUACCCUGGUAGUCCGCACAGUAAACGAUGAAUACUUGUUUUCGGCGAUAUAAUGUCGGAGGCAAAGCGAAAGCGAUAAGUAUUCCACCUGGGGAGUACGCCGGCAACGGUGAAACUCAAAGGAAUUGACGGGG
rnacentral:rRNA from 1 species